UCAAAGGCGUUGACCGAGAGGAGUAAGCGGAUCAAGCGCCAGACAGAGAGGACGAGUCACCGGCUGAGAGCUCGUCGUGGGAAAGCAAUCCGCUGAACGUAGCUCGCGAGCCGCUGGUUCGAACACAGCAACUAGACUGUUAGUAGGGUCAGACGGGCAAGCCCGUUAUAGCGGCAAUGAGGGUGUAGGAGCUUGCUCCUAUGCCGAACCAGAGGUGGUACCACGGUACGCCCACCGUCCACUGG
rnacentral:ncRNA from 1 species